rnacentral:rRNA from 1 species
GCGUGCUUAACACAUGCAAGUCGAGCGAUGAAACUUCUUCGGAAGUGGAUUAGCGGCGGACGGGUGAGUAACACGUGGGCAACCUGCCCUAUAGAGGGGAAUAGCCUUCCGAAAGGAAGAUUAAUACCCCAUAAGAUUGUAGCUUCACAUGGAGCAGCAAUUAAAGGAGCAAUCCGCUAUAGGAUGGGCCCGCGUCGCAUUAGCUAGUUGGUGAGGUAACGGCUCACCAAGGCGACGAUGCGUAGCCGACCUGAGAGGGUGAUCGGCCACAUUGGGACUGAGACACGGCCCAGACUCCUACGGGAGGCAGCAGUGGGGAAUAUUGCACAAUGGGGGAAACCCUGAUGCAGCAACGCCGCGUGAGUGAUGAAGGCCUUCGGGUUGUAAAGCUCUGUCUUUGGGGACGAUAAUGACGGUACCCAAGGAGGAAGCCACGGCUAACUACGUGCCAGCAGCCGCGGUAAUACGUAGGUGGCAAGCGUUGUCCGGAUUUACUGGGCGUAAAGGGAGCGUAGGCGGACUUUUAAGUGGGAUGUGAAAUACUCGGGCUCAACCCGAGUGCUGCAUUCCAAACUGGAAGUCUAGAGUGCAGGAGGGGAAAGUGGAAUUCCUAGUGUAGCGGUGAAAUGCGUAGAUAUUAGGAAGAACACCGGUGGCGAAGGCGACUUUCUGGACUGUAACUGACGCUGAGGCUCGAAAGCGUGGGGAGCGAACAGGAUUAGAUACCCUGGUAGU